rnacentral:tRNA from 1 species
UGGGGCGUUGUGCAAUGGCAGCACGUCAGCCUUUGGAGCUGAUUAUCUUGGUUCGAAUCCAGGCGCCCCAG